GGUGCAGCCCUAAAGGACAAAAAAUAAAAAGAAGUAAAUAAAAAUAAAUUUAAAAAAAACCUGUGGAAAUUAAUAACAAUGUUUUGUUUUAGCUUUUCCCUUUGAUUUUGGUGUUUUAAAUUUGAAUUCUUCUGUUGAAAAUGUCAAUACUAGUUUAAAUUUUGUUUAACCUGAUUUCUAAUGUUCUAAGUCUUGCCAUUAGAAAAACUCGUCAACUUCUUAUUCACGUAAUUAUUUUGAACAUUUUCCUAAUGUAUAUGUUCAUGGAGGAAGUUAGAUAGGGUUGGUUGCUAGGCCUCUUACCUCCUUCCCUCCCUUUUUUUCUUCCUCCUUUCCUUCCUUUUAAUUUUUAUAUUGAAAUAUUUUAGACUUUCAGAAGAGUUAACAAAAAUAGUACUUUUCACCCAACUUUUCCUAAUGGUUACACUAUAUAACCCCAUAGUAUAUUUUCCAAAACUAAGAAAUUGACAUUGAUAUAGUACUAUUAUUUAAAUUACUGACUUUAUGGAUCGAACCCACAACCUCAUGGUUCCUAGUCGGAUUUGUUUCCUCUGCACCACGACAGGAACUCCUGAAAUUAAUCAUUUUAAAAUGAACAACUCAGUCGCAUUUGGUUGUGGCGUAACCCACCACCUCUAUCUAAUUCCAAAACAUUUUCAUCACCUUAAAAGGAAACCCAUGCCCAUUAAUCACUUGCUCCCAAUUCCCCCUUUUCUCAGCCUCCCACUCCUAAUCCGUCUCUAAGGUUUAAUCUUGGGUAGUUCAUAGUAAUGGAAUCAUACAGUAAGUGUUGUUUUUGUUUCUGGCUUCUCUCAGUGUUAUAUUUUCAAGGUCCGUCCAUAUUUUAGUAUUUAUCUAGUACUUCAUUUCUUUUUAUGGCUGAAUAACAUUUCAUUUUACAUAUAUACCUCAGUUUGCUUAUCCAUUCAUCCGUUGAUUGACAUUUGGGCUGUUUCUAGUUUUUUGCUAUUGUGAAUAAUGCUGGUAUGAAUAAACAUGUGUGCACAUGUUUUGUUGAACUAUUGGAUCGUGUGGUAGUUCUAACAAACUUUCUGGUUCAGGUAUUCUUUAAUUCUUUUGAUUUUCAUUUUAUUGACUUUAAUUUUCUUAUAGAAUAAUAGGGUACCAUGACAUUUUGAGCAAAAAUAUUCUUUUAGGUUUUGCAUGUCAGAGUGAGUUAUGUUUUGAAACCUGGAGGUAUUUGUCAUUCUGAUUAAGCUAUUUUUUUCUGGAUUUGAUUGUUGACAUACUUUACCUGUUUUUCCCAUUUAUAAUGAUAACAAGAUACAGUGCUAGAUAGAAUCCAUGUGUUUGCUGUGUUUUAUAUGUUAUCAGUUGAUGUUAUAUUGCUUUGUCCUUAUUUCGAACAGUUUAUCUUCCAACAUACAGGAAAUUUACUAGUUUAAGGAAACAUUUAUAAUAAAUACCCUCAAAGAACAGUGUAAGGAAACUUUUUAUACUUUUAAAUAAUUUUUUCAUUUCAGAUUUGAGAUUUUUUUAAUAUAAUUUUGAACUUUGUAAUGAUUUAUCUUCACAGGAUAGGUUAAUACAAUGCUGUCUUGAUUUUAAAACUUGUUUUAUCCUUUUCCAUAUAGAGGCUAGAGAAAGGAAUGAUAAUUCUACUGGAAGCUUGGCAAAAUGGCAGAUGAGAAAGAAAGUCCUCUACUUAAGAAGAGAUCAGAUCUAUAAAGGCUGUUCUUUAGUCCAGUUUUCCUUAAUUUUGAGUAACUGGGGAACUCACAUGUAGUCUCUGAAUAUAUUUCCACCAAAGAAGAGUAUGAGUUGGUUCUUCAAUGGCUUAAAACCAAAUCUUUUGUCUUCAGUAGGUCUUCUUCUUCCAAAAAGGCCAGCAGCCUUUUAUGCCCAAACUCUGUUGGCCCAGGAGAUCUCCCUUUCCCCAUGUGGUAGGAAGCUCUGGUAGACCUGAAGCUUUUGAGUAGAGUCAAAGAAGCCUUGAACUUUUGGUCUGGGUGAGAAUUUCAGCUCUGGCAUUUUCAGCCUUGUUGGGUUUUAAGCUCUAGAGUAAAACUCAUGGCCUACUCUUGAUCUGACGCUAGACAUCUGAUGUGGACAUUGAUCCUGUAGCCCAAUGGUCUUCUUUGCAUUGGGGAGGAAAAGUUGUUGGAGUUUUUAUGGAAAAGGAGCAAAUGAAUGGACAGAGUAUUUGAGAACAACUUGAAGCAUAGAAGCUUGUUUCUGUUAGCAAUUCUCAGAAAUAAAGCAGUAUGUGAGGGCCUUGACUUAUACAGGUCUGGUGACGGAACUUAAAGUAGAGAGAUACCUCUGAAGAGGUAGCAUAUUUCCUCUAGAUUAAUGUCUCUCCAUCUCUAGUAUGUAGACUAAUGGAGCAGAUUUGAACUUAGCACUUUUGUUUCUUGCAGUUCAGGUUUUUUUUUUUCUCUUUUCCCUCAUGUCUAGGACCUCUGCUAGCUAGGUAAUUAUCUAAUGGUUUAUAGUGUCACUUGGGUAUGAAAGUGCCUUAGGCUAUUGCUGAGGUUUGGGCUGUUGGGGUGAUAAUAGUUAAACUUUGGACUGCACGUUUGGGAAUUGGAGUGUCUGUAUUCUGGGAUGCUUGGUGAUAACAAAGCCAUAUGUACUUAUAAACAUUCUUAUUAUUUUUGUAAACUCAUUUUUUUAGAAUUGGAAAUGUGUCACUUUUUUGAGUGUUCAAUUUUUAAAUAAAAAUGUUUAUGAAUUUUAGAUAUAUAAAGAGAUUUAAAUAAUAUUUAAGAAUCCUUUAGGUAUAGCAUGGUGACUUUAUAGUUAAUAAUAUAGUAUGGUGUAUUUGAAAGUUGCUAAGGGAGUAGAUCUAAGAAGUUCUCAACACAAGAAAAACAGUUGUAACUGUGUGUGCUAAUGGAUAUUAACUAGACUAAUUGUAAUCAUUUUGCAGUAUAUACUAAUAUCACUAUGUGUAAAAUAAGCUACAAGGAUAUAUUGUACAAUGCAGGGAAUAUAGCCAAUAUUUUAUAAUAACUAUAAAUGGAAUAUAACCUUUAAAAAUUGUGAAUUACUAUAUUGUUUACCUGAAACUUAUAUAAUCUUGUUCAUUAACUAUACUUCAAUAAAAAAUAAAAAUUAAAAAGUAUAUAUUAAAGUUGGAUAAUUUGGUAUACCUAAAAUUAAUAUAAUGUUAUAUGUCAAUUAUAUCUCAAUUAAAAAGGUAAAUUUUUUAAAAAAAUUCAAAUGAAUCAGAUAACUCAGUUUUACUUUUAAUAAAAGUAAUUGAAUAAGAACUUCAUCCAAUUUUUAAAAAGGAAAGAUAAAAAAUUCUUGAUUUUUAUCAAAAAGGAAAAUUACAUACAGCAAUUCGAGGAAUAGUAAUGUUACCAUUUUUUUCAUUGUUAGUGAGUUGUUGAGUCAAUCUGAUAGCAUCAGGAGUACUGUAAUAAAAUGAAAAUUUUGUAUAUGAACAUAGUAUAAAAUAUGAAUGUUCAUUUCUUUAGUCAGAAGGUGGAAAUUGCUUUGUAGAAUGAAGUUUAAAAGGAAUAUGAAAUUCAUAGGUGCUGUACCGUAAGUCACCAUUAUAACACAUUUACCACUUUGCAUGUUAAGCCAGCAACUUAGACUUCAGAAUUACAUCAGUGGAUACAUGCAUUAAAGACGAUCCCUCUGGAAAAAAAGGAAUAAAAUUCCUCCAGCAACUUUAAAUCAGGUGUAAAGAGGGCGGUACUUUUGUAAAUACAGAGCCACUGUGUGAAAGCCCUGCUUUGAAGCCUGAGACUAAAUUCGAAAGUGUGGCAUAUUGUUUUCUUUUCUUUAAGGAACUCCAUUUGGCUUGUGUAGAGUGUUCUUCCCAACCCUUCCCUGCCCUCUUUGUGAAUUUUUCUUUAUGAGUAGGAGAGAAGUAAAAAUUAUAUUACCCAUUUGAAAUUAUUGCUUUAUUAUAUUACUGUUAAAAUUUAUUAAGCUGAUAAAUUAAAAAUGUCUUAUUUCAUCAUGUGCAUAUCUAUAUGUGUAUAUCCAUCAUAAUUAUCAUACUCCAAGUAUUUAUACUACUUCUACCCCAUUGCAAGCCACCAUUCUCUCUCACCUAGACUCUGUAGAAGUCUCUUAGCUGAUUUCUUUUUAUACCAGCCUCCCUCACCAACAAAUUUGUUCUCUAUGGAGCACCAAGUGAUUCUUUAGUAGUGAAUGUCAGAGCAGGCUACUCAAAAAUUCCACUUCUUGUUCAUUAAUUUCUUUUUGUUUUUAAUUUGAGUAUAGUUGAUUUAAAAUGUUGUGUUUUAGGUGUACCGCAAAGUGAUUCCAUUACACCUUAUGUUUAAGAGAUAGACAAUAUUUAAGAAAUAGGUCUCGAUAAUUGAUAGGUAUGGAAUAGCAAGGAUGAUGCAUAAGAGUCUACAUGGGAAGCUGGGUGGGAUGCUAUUUAGAGGUAAGGCACAGGUUUGGAGGUGGAGGGUUAUAGCUGUUUGAGUCCAGCCAGUGCUUGGAGUGUUAAAUUAGUUUCCUAGUGCUGCAGUAACAAAGGAUCAAAAUCUGGGUGGUUUAAAACAGUAGAGAUUUAUUAUCUCAGUUCUAGAGGCUAAAAGUCCAAAAUCAAGGUGUUGCUAGGGCCAUGUUCUCUCUGACUGUUCUAGGGGAAAAUUCUUGCUUGCCACUUAAGCUUCUGAUGUUUUCCAGUAGUCCUUGAAGUUCUUUAGCUUGGGGAUGGCCAUCGUUCCUUGGGUGUCUUUCCCUCUGUGAGAGUCUCUCCAUGUCCAGAUUUCCCUUUUAAUAAAGAUACAGUCAGAUUUGUUCAGGGCCACCCUGAUGACCUCAUUUUAACUAUAUGAUUUCCCUAGAACUUGUUUCCAAAUAAGGUCAUAUUCUGUGCUACUAGGGUUUAGGACUUCAACAUAUCUUUUGUGAUGAAUUUUACUAAAAAUUUAGGCUAUUUGAUACAUUGAAGUAAUAAAGGGUAGGAGAUCAAGAAGGUGAAAACAAAGGUAAAUACUGAGUUUUCAUGCUUUACUGAGAGAAUGCUGGUGCCGCUGGAAGGAAUGGGGGGAAGGAAAGUACAGAUUCCAGACAAGAAGAGAGGAGAGAGGGAAGUGAAUUUUGUUGUGAGCUGGCUGAAUUGGACUUUAGGUGAUUGUCACAUAGCUUCAUGAUCUAGUCAGAGUUGAGGGAAGAGCUCUGCAUCUUUUUUUAUCUUUUUUGUUUUGGCUGGGGGGAGUUUUUUAGGGCUGCAACUGUGGCAUAAGGAAGUUCCCAGGCGAGUGGUUGAAUCGGAGCUAUGGCUGCCAGCUACACCACAGCCACAGCAAUACGGAGUCUGAGCCAAGUUUGUGACCUACACCACAGCUCAUGGUAACGCAUGAUCCAUAACCCACUGAGGAGGCCAGGGAUCAAACCUGCAUCCUCAUGGAUACUAGUUGGAUUCGUGACCACUGAGCCGCAGCGGGUAUUCUGAGAUCUGCAUCUUGAUCACAGCUUUGCUAUGGAAAUGUCUGGGUUCUCAGAGGAGGGAGGCCAGAGAGUCUGAGAUCUGGGUCUCAAAAGGAAGCUAAAAGAGAAGGUCACUUGUUGAAGUGGAUGCCUUCAUCCAUUAUAGAAAAAAAAAAAA
rnacentral:lncRNA from 1 species